CUGCUCCCUUUACAGGGAGCUUUGACAAGAAGCAGCUCUAUGGUGUUUACACAGAACACCUGAGAAUAUAGAAUGUGUUUCACAUGUGCCUGCCACCAAGUCCUCUCAGGCCUGCUAACCACAGGACACACCUUGGAAGGAGUCUUAAGUGCAGGUGGAAGUGGAGGUACGGCCUGCAAGUGUGAUCUGUUACAAAAAACUGCAUGACGUGGUUUCAGCUCAGGCUGAUGAGUGCUCUCCUGCCAUCCUGAGUAUAGUUCUUUUAAACAGGAGAAGGCUCAACAGAAUUGUCCAGACAAGGAUCACAAGAUCUUCCACACCAGAGAUAAAGUUGCAAUGACCCAAGACCCCUGAAACCACUGAUUGUAGUUAAGCAACAAUAGCCUGAAGCCAUGCCAUGUGACACCAGUCAUGUAGACCUGAAACUAACCAUGAAACCCCCCCUUUAAAAAGCCCUGUUUUUCUGCUUAAGGGCAGGAUGGUGACCUUUGAGAUGCUAGUCUCCUACCAUCCA